rnacentral:rRNA from 1 species
ACGCUAUGACAUUCCUCCGCCUGAUGUGUGAUCCCUCGCCCCGCAGGACGAACCAACGCCACCCGGAGUAGUUUGGAUCUGGCUCAGGAUGAACGCUGGCGGCGUGCCUAAUACAUGCAAGUCGAGCGAACAGACGAGGAGCUUGCUCCUUUGACGUUAGCGGCGGACGGGUGAGUAACACGUAGGUAACCUACCUAUAAGACUGGGAUAACUUCGGGAAACCGGAGCUAAUACCGGAUAAUAUUUCGAACCGCAUGGUUCGAUAGUGAAAGAUGGCUUUGCUAUCACUUAUAGAUGGACCUGCGCCGUAUUAGCUAGUUGGUAAGGUAACGGCUUACCAAGGCAACGAUACGUAGCCGACCUGAGAGGGUGAUCGGCCACACUGGAACUGAGACACGGUCCAGACUCCUACGGGAGGCAGCAGUAGGGAAUCUUCCGCAAUGGGCGAAAGCCUGACGGAGCAACGCCGCGUGAGUGAUGAAGGUCUUCGGAUCGUAAAACUCUGUUAUUAGGGAAGAACAAACGUGUAAGUAACUGUGCACGUCUUGACGGUACCUAAUCAGAAAGCCACGGCUAACUACGUGCCAGCAGCCGCGGUAAUACGUAGGUGGCAAGCGUUAUCCGGAAUUAUUGGGCGUAAAGCGCGCGUAGGCGGUUUUUUAAGUCUGAUGUGAAAGCCCACGGCUCAACCGUGGAGGGUCAUUGGAAACUGGAAAACUUGAGUGCAGAAGAGGAAAGUGGAAUUCCAUGUGUAGCGGUGAAAUGCGCAGAGAUAUGGAGGAACACCAGUGGCGAAGGCGACUUUCUGGUCUGUAACUGACGCUGAUGUGCGAAAGCGUGGGGAUCAAACAGGAUUAGAUACCCUGGUAGUCCACGCCGUAAACGAUGAGUGCUAAGUGUUAGGGGGUUUCCGCCCCUUAGUGCUGCAGCUAACGCAUUAAGCACUCCGCCUGGGGAGUACGACCGCAAGGUUGAAACUCAAAGGAAUUGACGGGGACCCGCACAAGCGGUGGAGCAUGUGGUUUAAUUCGAAGCAACGCGAAGAACCUUACCAAAUCUUGACAUCCUUUGACCCUUCUAGAGAUAGAAGUUUCCCCUUCGGGGGACAAAGUGACAGGUGGUGCAUGGUUGUCGUCAGCUCGUGUCGUGAGAUGUUGGGUUAAGUCCCGCAACGAGCGCAACCCUUAAGCUUAGUUGCCAUCAUUAAGUUGGGCACUCUAAGUUGACUGCCGGUGACAAACCGGAGGAAGGUGGGGAUGACGUCAAAUCAUCAUGCCCCUUAUGAUUUGGGCUACACACGUGCUACAAUGGACAAUACAAAGGGCAGCGAAACCGCGAGGUCAAGCAAAUCCCAUAAAGUUGUUCUCAGUUCGGAUUGUAGUCUGCAACUCGACUACAUGAAGCUGGAAUCGCUAGUAAUCGUAGAUCAGCAUGCUACGGUGAAUACGUUCCCGGGUCUUGUACACACCGCCCGUCACACCACGAGAGUUUGUAACACCCGAAGCCGGUGGAGUAACCAUUUGGAGCUAGCCGUCGAAAGUGGGACAAAUGAUUGGGGUGAAGUCGUAACAAGUUAAACCGUAACGUUGCUGGAUCGGCGAUUGCUAGCGAUUCCAGCUUCAUGUAGUCGAGUUGCAG